rnacentral:rRNA from 1 species
UACGUAGGGUGCGAGCGUUGUCCGGAAUUAUUGGGCGUAAAGAGCUCGUAGGCGGUUUGUCGCGUCGUCCGUGAAAACUUGGGGCUCAAACCCCAAGGCUUGCGGGCGAUACGGGCAGACGUUGAGUACUGCAGGGGAGGACUGGAAUUCCUGGUGUAGCGGUGAAAAUGCGCAGAUAUCAGGAGGAACACCGGUGGCGAAGGCGGGUCUCUGGGCAGUAACUGACGCUGAGGAGCGAAAGCGUGGGGAGCGAACAGG